GCCCAAGAAUAUGCAUUUUUUAAUACGUACACCACCCAGAUAAUUCUAGUUCAGAUGGGCUUCUCACUUCACUUGGAGAAACCCUGCCUUUAGGUUUUUAACUCACCUUCUGUUUGAGUUUCCCUCUUGUUGCCCAGGCUGGAGUACAAUGGCGCAAUCUUGGCUCACCGUAGCCUCUGCCUCCUGGAUUCAAGCAAUUCUCCUGCCUCAGCCUCCUGAGUAGCUGGGAUUACAGGCAUGCACCACCAUGCCCGACUAAUUUUGUAUUUUCAGUAGAGACGGGGUUUCUCCAUGUUGGUCAGCCUGGUCUCGAACUCCUGACCUCGUGAUCUACCCGCCUCAGCCUCCUAAAGUGCUAGGAUUACAGGCGUGAGCCACUGCGCCCAGCCACUAAUACCUUUUGGAUAGACUAAUAACAGAGUUCCUCCUUGAUCUUCCUCAUCUUAUUAAUACAGGAAAUUGAAGUAUUUUCAGGAAUCAGAUACUUCCAGGGAUCAGCAAAGAGAUUGUUGGAGACCUUCCAGUGUCUUGGCCUUCAACAAAUAUCUCCCAAAACUACAAAGACUCUAAAGGGCAACUUUUUGUUUGUUUGUUUGUUUGUUUGUUUGUUUUGAGAUGGGGUCUCGCUCUGUCACCCAGGCUGGAGUGCAGUGGCGUGGUCUCGUCUCACUGCAACCUCCGCCUCCUGGGUUCAAGCAAUUCUCCUGCCUCAGCCUCCUGAGUAGCUGGGAUUACAGGCGCGUGCUACCACACCUGGCUAAUUUUUGUAUUUUUAGUAGAGGUGGGGUUUCACCAUGUUGGUCAGGCUGGUCUCGAACUCCUGACCUCGUGAUCCGCCCGCCUCGGCCUCCCAAAGUGCUGGGAUUACAGGUGUGAACCACGUGCCCAGCCUAAACGGCAACUUUUAAAGGUCCAGAUGAUGAAGUCUUGAGAAGCGUUCCUUUUGAAUAAAAACUAAGGAAAACUUAGGCAAAAGACACUCUGGGAAAAUUCCUGUGGCAACUGCAAAUCAUGAGGCUAUGGAAAUGGGUAACAGGUCUUACCUGAACCCAAGUGUUCACUUGUUCAGACCAGGGGAAGUCACUUCAUUAUAAGGAAAUCUUGGGAGCUGUGUGGGGUUUCUGGAAGAAGUCAUGACUUCAGGGUUUUAAUUCUAUUUCUGCCAAUGACUUAAGGUCAGUCACUGUUUUCUGGGCCAGUUAAGCUUUCUAGGGCCCCUUUUCUGCUAAUAAGGAUAUAGUUUAGUGAAUAAGGAGCGUUUACAAUACUGCUUCUGUAAUUCCAGCUCUCCUGCCACAGCUCCUCACCCCCUGAAAAUGUUCGCCUGCUCCAAGUUUGUCUCCACUCCCUCCUUGGUCAAGAGCACCUCACAGCUGCUGAGCCGUCCGCUAUCUGCAGUGGUGCUGAAACGACCGGAGAUACUGACAGAUGAGAGCCUCAGCAGCUUGGCAGUCUCAUGUCCCCUUACCUCACUUGUCUCUAGCCGCAGCUUCCAAACCAGCGCCAUUUCAAGGGACAUCGACACAGCAGCCAAGUUCAUUGGAGCUGGGGCU
rnacentral:lncRNA from 10 species